AAAGUGGAUGACUAAAGAAUUACAAUCUUUUGCAGUGCAUGGCAAGGGAAGCCCAAUCUUCACUUCUAUACUAUGCGGAACUUUUACUUCAUUGUGCGAAAAAUAAUUGCCAUCUAUUGUUUUUCCAGUGAUUGAACAUAAAAAAUUCACACUGUAGCCUUUGCUUCGCUACUGAUAUUCUGUUAGCUUUAUUUUUGAUCAAUAUAUUUUGUUGACUCAUUCAUAUAUACCUUUUAUUGUACUAUACAAUUUCAUCUCCAUCUUAAAAAUAUUAAUUUAAACAUAGAAUCCUGCACCUUUACUGGUUCUCCCUUCCUUGGUAAGUAAUAUCUUAUUUGUCUCAGACUUCUUGUAAUUCAUAGCGCCUCAAAGUUCACACAGUGUAAAGACCCCUGUGACGGUGUUAGAAGAAAACAUCAAUAGACGACAGUGACCAUCAUGUUUGAUGUUAGUUUUACAAAUUUGAAACCAUGACGAGCAAGUGGAUAUUUGUUGUGAUCUUUUGCGUCCUAACAAUUUCCACGAACAUCGCUGACAGCAUAUGCUGCAAUAGAAUUAAGGAAUUGGUGCAAAAAAAGAAAAACGCCUUUGCAACUCUUUGUGCAUGAGGAAACAAUCUCCCUCGGGGUUGCUGUGACGAUAUUAAGAAGGAAGUAAAGUCGUUUGAGGAUGCAUACCAGUCGUUAUGUGUUAAUUCAUCAAACAUCCUGGGGAACUCGAGCAUUCUAAAGAAUAAGCCGCAAUGGAUAACUUAGCUUCAAAAAUGGCUGCCAUCGAACUUAAGAGGUCAUAAGACGGUGCUCUGUUACAGAGCAACCGUGAAUGGUUGGAGCUCAAACAAAUUCCACAGUCUUUGUGACUCGAAGGGAC